AGGGACUUGAAAAUGAGAUAGCUCAUAAUGCUGAUGUCUUGAAGGAGAAAAAGGAAAUGUUGGAAGUGCACAAGAAACUUAUUCAAAACUUUAGUAGAAUGCUUGAGGCGAAAGAAGAGGCGAGAUCACAACCCUUAAAGGUCGCUGCGACAUGGAUACAGUAACCAUGACUGAAUUGAAGCAAGUUUUGAAGGAGCAAGAAGAUCACAUCGACCAGUUAGAGGCGUGUAAUGGCGAUCUAAGGCUUGGCCGCGAUCAUGUCGAAAAGCGUUUGAAGGGCGUUCGCGAAGAACUCGAGGAAGCACAGAAAAAUCUCCAGGGACUUGAAAAUGAGAUAGCUCAUAAUGCUGAUGUCUUGAAGGAGAAAAAGGAAAUGUUGGAAGUGCACAAGAAACUUAUUCAAAACUUUAGUAGAAUGCUUGAGGCGAAAGAAGAGGCGAGAUCACAACCCUUAAAGGUCGCUGCGACAUGGAUACAGUAACCAUGACUGAAUUGAAGCAAGUUUUGAAGGAGCAAGAAGAUCACAUCGACCAGUUAGAGGCGUGUAAUGGCGAUCUAAGGCUUGGCCGCGAUCAUGUCGAAAAGCGUUUGAAGGGCGUUCGCGAAGAACUCGAGGAAGCACAGAAAAAUCUCCAGGGACUUGAAAAUGAGAUAGCUCAUAAUGCUGAUGUCUUGAAGGAGAAAAAGGAAAUGUUGGAAGUGCACAAGAAACUUAUUCAAAACUUUAGUAGAAUGCUUGAGGCGAAAGAAGAGGCGAGAUCACAACCCUUAAAGGUCGCUGCGACAUGGAUACAGUAACCAUGACUGAAUUGAAGCAAGUUUUGAAGGAGCAAGAAGAUCACAUCGACCAGUUAGAGGCGUGUAAUGGCGAUCUAAGGCUUGGCCGCGAUCAUGUCGAAAAGCGUUUGAAGGGCGUUCGCGAAGAACUCGAGGAAGCACAGAAAAAUCUCCAGGGACUUGAAAAUGAGAUAGCUCAUAAUGCUGAUGUCUUGAAGGAGAAAAAGGAAAUGUUGGAAGUGCACAAGAAACUUAUUCAAAACUUUAGUAGAAUGCUUGAGGCGAAAGAAGAGGCGAGAUCACAACCCUUAAAGGUCGCUGCGACAUGGAUACAGUAACCAUGACUGAAUUGAAGCAAGUUUUGAAGGAGCAAGAAGAUCACAUCGACCAGUUAGAGGCGUGUAAUGGCGAUCUAAGGCUUGGCCGCGAUCAUGUCGAAAAGCGUUUGAAGGGCGUUCGCGAAGAACUCGAGGAAGCACAGAAAAAUCUCCAGGGACUUGAAAAUGAGAUAGCUCAUAAUGCUGAUGUCUUGAAGGAGAAAAAGGAAAUGUUGGAAGUGCACAAGAAACUUAUUCAAAACUUUAGUAGAAUGCUUGAGGCGAAAGAAGAGGCGAGAUCACAACCCUUAAAGGUCGCUGCGACAUGGAUACAGUAACCAUGACUGAAUUGAAGCAAGUUUUGAAGGAGCAAGAAGAUCACAUCGACCAGUUAGAGGCGUGUAAUGGCGAUCUAAGGCUUGGCCGCGAUCAUGUCGAAAAGCGUUUGAAGGGCGUUCGCGAAGAACUCGAGGAAGCACAGAAAAAUCUCCAGGGACUUGAAAAUGAGAUAGCUCAUAAUGCUGAUGUCUUGAAGGAGAAAAAGGAAAUGUUGGAAGUGCACAAGAAACUUAUUCAAAACUUUAGUAGAAUGCUUGAGGCGAAAGAAGAGGCGAGAUCACAACCCUUAAAGGUCGCUGCGACAUGGAUACAGUAACCAUGACUGAAUUGAAGCAAGUUUUGAAGGAGCAAGAAGAUCACAUCGACCAGUUAGAGGCGUGUAAUGGCGAUCUAAGGCUUGGCCGCGAUCAUGUCGAAAAGCGUUUGAAGGGCGUUCGCGAAGAACUCGAGGAAGCACAGAAAAAUCUCCAGGGACUUGAAAAUGAGAUAGCUCAUAAUGCUGAUGUCUUGAAGGAGAAAAAGGAAAUGUUGGAAGUGCACAAGAAACUUAUUCAAAACUUUAGUAGAAUGCUUGAGGCGAAAGAAGAGGCGAGAUCACAACCCUUAAAGGUCGCUGCGACAUGGAUACAGUAACCAUGACUGAAUUGAAGCAAGUUUUGAAGGAGCAAGAAGAUCACAUCGACCAGUUAGAGGCGUGUAAUGGCGAUCUAAGGCUUGGCCACGAUCAUGUGGAAAAGCGUUUGAAGGGCGUUCGCGAAGAACUCGAGGAAGCACAGAAAAAUCUCCAGGGACUUGAAAAUGAGAUAGCUCAUAAUGCUGAUGUCUUGAAGGAGAAAAAGGAAAUGUUGGAAGUGCACAAGAAACUUAUUCAAAACUUUAGUAGAAUGCUUGAGGCGAAAGAAGAGGCGAGAUCACAACCCUUAAAGGUCGCUGCGACAUGGAUACAGUAACCAUGACUGAAUUGAAGCAAGUUUUGAAGGAGCAAGAAGAUCACAUCGACCAGUUAGAGGCGUGUAAUGGCGAUCUAAGGCUUGGCCGCGAUCAUGUCGAAAAGCGUUUGAAGGGCGUUCGCGAAGAACUCGAGGAAGCACAGAAAAAUCUCCAGGGACUUGAAAAUGAGAUAGCUCAUAAUGCUGAUGUCUUGAAGGAGAAAAAGGAAAUGUUGGAUGUGCACAAGAAACUUAUUCAAAACUUUAGUAGAAUGCUUGAGGCGAAAGAAGAGGCGAGAUCACAACCCUUAAAGGUCGCUGCGACAUGGAUACAGUAACCAUGACUGAAUUGAAGCAAGUUUUGAAGGAGCAAGAAUAUCACAUCGACCAGUUAGAUGCGUGUAAUGGCGAUCUAAGGCUUGGCCGCGAUCAUGUCGAAAAGCGUUUGAAGGGCGUUCGCGAAGAACUCGAGGAAGCACAGAAAAAUCUCCAGGGACUUGAAAAUGAGAUAGCUCAUAAUGCUGAUGUCUUGAAGGAGAAAAAAGAAAUGUUGGAAGUGCACAAGAAACUUAUUCAAAACUUUAGUAGAAUGCUUGAGGCGAAAGAAGAGGCGAGAUCACAACCCUUAAAGGUCGCUGCGACAUGGAUACAGUAACCAUGACUGAAUUGAAGCAAGUUUUGAAGGAGCAAGAAGAUCACAUCGACCAGUUAGAGGCGUGUAAUGGCGAUCUAAGGCUUGGCCACGAUCAUGUGGAAAAGCGUUUGAAGGGCGUUUGCGAAGAACUCGAGGAAGCACAGAAAAAUCUCCAGGGACUUGAAAAUGAGAUAGCUCAUAAUGCUGAUGUCUUGAAGGAGAAAAAGGAAAUGUUGGAAGUGCACAAGAAACUUAUUCAAAAC